CAUAAUAAUCGAUAAGUUGCGUGUGUGGCACACUUUCUGUUGCUGGUAUUUACCAUUUUGACCCCGACGUCAGUUAAAAGGACUGAAUUUGACGUGGGUGAGUGAGUCUGUAGAAAAGAGCUUUCAAAACUCAAAUAAUUCCUUGGCCUUUCCCUCCCUCAUCGUCUCCAUUUCUUCUUCUAUCUGAAAUGAUGUACGGAUGCCGAAUCCGCUAUCACCUUAGAUAUGGUUGCGACACCGCCUACACCAAUGGCUCGAGGGUGAGCCGAUCUACAAAACCCAUAUGGUCGUGCCACUAUCCAUCGCCGUUGCCAAAGUUCAUCACAUCACACUCGCCGAUCCGGAUCCACAUGAAUGUGCUCCGAAGUUCAUUGUCUCGAUGGUAACGGAGUAAGACCGGUUAUGUGUAUGUUUUCUCCAUGCCUUAACAAAUUUCUCUGUUUUAUGCGAAUUUCUUCGUUUGACCCAUAUGUGGUGAUUUUGCAGAUAUAGAGUAAAAUAACAACCAAGGUAGUACAAGCAUUGUUUUUCCAGUGGCUAUUUUUAAUCAGGCAUUCACAUUUUCUAGUGUGAUACAUAAAGGAAACACAGUUUGAAGCCGCUGCAUCCAAAGUUUAUGAGUCAUAUUUGAAGAGAGUGAGCUUGAAGAUUAUUCGAGGACAUAAAGCCCCACUAUACGGCUCCAAAAUAUUUGCAUUGAGCGUGUUGUACUGGGUCGAGAACAUAUAGAUGCCAAGUGUAACCAUCUAUUAUUGAUUUGAUGUAAACUUAUGGUUUCAAUACAGUACUUGAACAGCAAUACGUUUGCAGAUAUUCAAUGGAUAAUUCAUAGUUUAGUUAUUACA